rnacentral:lncRNA from 1 species
CCGAGUAUUUGUUAAUUAGUUAUUAUAUUUGAAAAAUGAAGAUUGAAAUUACACGCAAAUGCUACUUGUCGUAUCGAUAUUCUUCUGGAGAUUCCUCCCUCGUCCCUCCCCUGUUUAAAUUUGAAGCAGACUAGUAGAUUUGCCUAGAGGCUUCCCCUUCCCUUAGCUUACAAGGAUUUGGCUUCAUCUAGAAGAAUAUUGAAGGCUCUUAUUCUUCUCUUUUAGCUGUUGACUAGUUCGGUUUUAGAAAUAAAAGUCAAAAGGCGUUCGCCAUUCAUGAAUCAUGAUAAUGUGCCAGAUCCCGCCACACCCAGAGGAGAGGAACUGAAAUGAAUAAUAAUAUAAUAUAGGCUAUAGCCCCCUAGAAGAAAGUGGCCAAGUUGCUCACUUGCAAUUUGCAGUUAUAACAUGAAACAAACAAUCAUUCCAAGCCCAGCUGCCUAACACACACAUGCCAAAUGUUAUAUUACACAUGGUCUGGGUAAACGCUUCACGCCAUUGCAUUUUAUGGCCGUGGUCGUGGCAGUUUAGGUGGCUUUUUUUAAACCAUAACAGGUGGCAUCCAUAUCUGUUCCACACGCGAACACCACCAAAACUAUCUUGUUUCUUAUCCGAUCCACCACACUUCCUUCCUCGCUAAACAAAAACAUCGGCCCCCAUUCCCCUCUCCCUCUCCUUGACGACUUUGAUCUCAUCCAUCCUUAUCACUCGCCACCUUCCCACUUCAUUAUUAUUAUUAAUUACAAAUUUUACAUAAAUUCAAAAAAGAAAUUAGGAAAAUUAGCCGACAUGCAUUUACGCGUGAAUCACAUGGACGGUAGCUGAAUAGUGAGCACUAUCAUUUAGCUCACUAUACUAGUGUAGUAGGUGUGUAAUAUUUUUACAGUUAAAAACCGUCACAUAAAC